AUUGAACGCUGGCGGCAGGCCUAACACAUGCAAGUCGAGCGGAGCGGCGGACGCGGGCGGAAUGCUUAGGAAUCUGCAUGGGAGUGGGGGAUAACGUUAGGGAACGGGCACUAUUACCACAUCCUAUCACAUGAGCCUGGGUCGGAUUAGCUAGGUGGUGGGGUAAAGGCUUACAAAGGAGACGAUCCUUAACUGGUCUGAGAGGAUGAUCAGUAACACUGGAACUGAGACACGGUCCAGACGCCUACGGGAGGCAGCAGUGGGGAAUAUUGGACAAUGGGCGAAAGCCGGAUCCAGCCAUGCCGCGUGUGUGAAGAAGGCCUUCGGAGUGUAAAGCACUUUCAGUUGGGAGGCGUUACCAACAGAAUAAGCACCGGCUAACUUCGUGCCAGCAGCCGCGGUAAUUC
rnacentral:rRNA from 1 species